AACGAACGCUGGCGGCAUGCCUAACACAUGCAAGUCGAACGAGACCUUCGGGUCUAGUGGCGCACGGGUGCGUAACGCGUGGGAACCUGCCCUUAGGUUCGGAAUAACUCCCCGAAAGGGGUGCUAAUACCGGAUAAUGUCUUCGGACCAAAGAUUUAUCGCCUUUGGCUGGGCCCGCGUUGGAUUAGCUAGUUGGUAGGGUAAAAGCCUACCAAGGCGACGAUCCAUAGCUGGUCUGAGAGGAUGAUCAGCCACACUGGGACUGCGACACGGCCCAGACUCCUACGGGAGGCAGCAGGGGGGAAUAUUGGACAAUGGGCGAAAGCCUGAUCCAGCAAUGCCGCGUGAGUGAUGAAGGCCUUAGGGUUGUAAAGCUCUUUUACCCGGGAUGGUAAUGACAGUACCGGGAGAAUAAGCGCCGGCUAACUCCGUG
rnacentral:rRNA from 1 species